CAACACGAGCUCCAUCACGGGAGGCAUCGUCGGAGUCAUGCUGGGCCUCCUCCUGGUGGCCUCGCUCUUUGCCUACAACAGGAAUAGGCAUCGAGUCGAACAAGAAAGAGGGAAAGCGCAGAAAGUCGAAGAAGCAGCAG